rnacentral:lncRNA from 10 species
GGUGGGACCAUCUAGUUGCAGGAAAACAAGCUCAGGGCUCCCAUUGAUUCUACAUUAUGGGGUCCCCAAGCCCCGGGUUGCAGAGCGAUACCUGUCCCUGGCCUGUUAGGAACUGGAUCACAUGGCAGGAGCGUCCCCACCGGCCCUGCCACCACCUUCUGCUCAUUUGAUAAAAGCUGCCGCUGUGGAGUCUGCCUACCCAGCACCUGCCCACAUGAGAUCAGCCUCCUUCAGCCCAUCUGCUGUGACACCUGCCCCCCACCCUGCUGCAAGCCUGAUACCUAUGUGCCAACUUGCUGGCUGCUCAACAACUGUCACCCGACUCCCGGACUGAGUGGGAUCAACCUGACCACCUAUGUUCAGCCUGGCUGUGAGAGUCCCUGUGAGCCCCGCUGUUAACCAGCCGAGUCUGCACAGGUUCCGUGAGGUGGCUGCCCAAUGUCCUCUGCACCAUCUGGGCUUCAGCACUCACUACUGCCUACAUCAAGGCUAAGGCCAUCCCAAUCCCCGGGGCCAAGUCUUGAUGAAUCUUCUUAAUUAUUUGCACAUUUGGGUACCAUUGGAGACCUCCCUUCUGUCUUUUAGGCUAUUUCAUCACUCUUUGAGAAAUAACCAUUUUGACCAUUUGUUAAUAAACUUUAUUCUGGCUUAGCAAA